AGUGAACGCUGGCGGUAGGCCUAACACAUGCAAGUCGAACGGCAGCACAGUAAGAGCUUGCUCUUACGGGUGGCGAGUGGCGGACGGGUGAGGAAUACAUCGGAAUCUACUUUUUCGUGGGGGAUAACGUAGGGAAACUUACGCUAAUACCGCAGACGACCUACGGGUGAAAGCAGGGGAUCUUCGGACCUUGCGCGAUUGAAUGAGCCGAUGUCGGAUUAGCUAGUUGGCGGGGUAAAGGCCCACCAAGGCGACGAUCCGUAGCUGGUCUGAGAGGAUGAUCAGCCACACUGGAACUGAGACACGGUCCAGACUCCUACGGGAGGCAGCAGUGGGGAAUAUUGGACAAUGGGCGCAAGCCUGAUCCAGCCAUACCGCGUGGGUGAAGAAGGCCUUCGGGUUGUAAAGCCCUUUUGUUGGGAAAGAAAAGCAGCAGGUUAAUACCCCGCUGUUCUGACGGUACCCACAGAAUAAGCACCGGCUAACUUCGUG
rnacentral:rRNA from 1 species